GAGACAAAACAAGGAGACAUGGACAAGAUAUGUUCCGAGAAGAUCCAAAGCAUUCAUCGUGACACUGUUCUCAUCUCCUAUCUUUAUUUCGUUUUCAUGUUCUUCUUAUCUCAUCUUCUUCUUCUUCGGGGACCAAAAACACUUCAACAUAUAUAUAAGGUCAUUUCUCUUUCGUCAUAAUUUGUUGAGAGCGAUAUACUAGAUUGAUUGUAUUUAAGUAAGUUUUCGCUAUCCGUCCUCAAUAUGUACCGCUCGAUAUGCUCAAAUCACAAAAAUAUGUAGAUUUUCUUCAACACUAGCAAUGGAUGUCCAUUGCUAGUAAACAGUUAAUUGUAGUGUACAAGAUAUUGAACAAUGUCGAAUGUUAUUGGAGUAACUCUUGAGAUUGGUGUAGCGAGAGAAUCAAGCAUGAUGACCUAGACACUAGCUAGGGCGAUAAUUGUUAACCAAAAAAAAAAAAGUCUAGGGCGAUAAUUAACUCGUUGAUGAAUGUGAAAUAAAAAUUAGAAAAAAAAAGAAAUAAAAACUAGUUUCAUACGAAAGAAAGAGUUUAGUAUUUUUAGCAUACAUUGGACCCGGGUCGACAGAUACCAGAUCAUUUAGGUCAUACCUUUAGUCGUAUGAUGGAAAGCUAAACACUUGAUUGGUAGAUCAAUCCUAGUUACUCGUUUUUUCUUCCACUAGUUUUUAACUAGCUAUGACAAAAAAAGACCCGAAAACGUCAAAACUCUUCCUUAGUGUAAUGCUUAGUUAGGUUG
rnacentral:lncRNA from 1 species